rnacentral:rRNA from 1 species
AUUGAACGCUGGCGGCAGGCCUAACACAUGCAAGUCGAACGAGUGGCGGACGGGUGAGUAAUGUCUGGGAAACUGCCCGAUGGAGGGGGAUAACUACUGGAAACGGUAGCUAAUACCGCAUACCAUCGGAUGUGCACAGAGGGGAUUAGCUUGUAGGUGGGGUAACGGCUCACCUAGGCGAAGCUCCCUAGCUGGUCUGAGAGGAUGACCAGCCACACUGGAACUUAGACACGGUCCAGACUCCUACGGGAGGCAGCAGUGGGGAAUAUGGCACAAUGGGCGCAAGCCUGAUGCAGCCAUGCCGCGUGUAUGAAGAAGGCCUUCGGGUUGUAAAGUACUUGCAGCGAGGAGGCGGGACUCGAAGAAGAAGCACCGGCUAACUCCGUGCCAGCAGCCGCGGUAAUUG